AACCGCUUUCAGCAGGGGCGAAGCUAUUGAGACGGUACCUGCAGAAGAAGCACCGGCUAACUACGUGCCAGCAGCCGCGGUGAUACGUAGGGUGCGAGCGUUGUCCGGAUUUAUUGGGCGUAAAGAGCUCGUAGGUGGUUGAUUGCGUCGGAAGUGAAAACUUGGGGCUUAACCCUGAGCGUGCUUUCGAUACGGGUUGACUUGAGGAAGGUAGGGGAGAAUGGAAUUCCUGGUGGAGCGGUGGAAUGCGCAGAUAUCAGGAGGAACACCAGUGGCGAAGGCGGUUCUCUGGACCUUUCCUGACGCUGAGGAGCGAAAGCGUGGGGAGCGAACAGGCUUAGAUACCCUGGUAGUCCACGCUGUAAACGGUGGGUACUAGGUGUGGGGUCCAUUCCACGGAUUCCGUGCCGUAGCUAACGCAUUAAGUACCCCGCCUGGGGAGUACGGCCGCAAGGCUAAAACUCAAAGGAAUUGACGGGGCCCCGCACAAGCGGCGGAGCAUGCGGAUUAAUUCGAUGCAACGCGAAGAACCUUACCUGGGUUUGACAUGGACUGGGAGUGCUCAGAGAUGGGUAUGCCUCCUUGUGGGGCUGGUUCACAGGUGGUGCAUGGCUGUCGUCAGCUCGUGUCGUGAGAUGUUGGGUUAAGUCCCGCAACGAGCGCAACCCUCGUUCACUGUUGCCAGCACGUUAUGGUGGGGACUCAGUGGAGACCGCCGGGGUCAACUCGGAGGAAGGUGGGGAUGACGUCAAGUCAUCAUGCCCCUUAUGUCCAGGGCUUCACGCAUGCUACAAUGGCCGGUACAAAGAGUUGCGAGCCUGUGAGGGUGAGCGAAUCUCGGAAAGCCGGUCUCAGUUCGGAUUGGGGUCUGCAACUCGACCCUAUGAAGUCGGAGUCGCUAGUAAUCGCAGAUCAGCAACGCUGCGGUGAAUACGUUCCCGGGGCUUGUACACACCGCCCGUCAAGUCAUGAAAGUCGGUAACACCCGAAGCCGGUGGCCUAACCUGUGUGGGGGAGCCGUCGAAGGUGGGACUGGUAAUUAGGACUAAGUCGUAACAAGGUAGCCGUACCGGAAGGUGCGGCUG
rnacentral:rRNA from 1 species